GCGACCCCAGGUCAGGCGGGACUACCCGCUGAAUUUAAGCAUAUAAAUAAGCGGAGGAGAAGAAACUUACAAGGAUUCCCCUAGUAACGGCGAGCGAACGGG
rnacentral:rRNA from 1 species